rnacentral:rRNA from 1 species
UACGGAGGGAGCUAGCGUUGUUCGGAAUUACUGGGCGUAAAGCGCGCGUAGGCGGAUCGCUAAGUCAGGGGUGAAAUCCCAGGGCUCAACCCUGGAACUGCCUUUGAUACUGACGAUCUGGAGAUCGGGAGAGGUUGGUGGAAUUCCGAGUGUAGAGGUGAAAUUCGUAGAUAUUCGGAGGAACACCAGAAGCGAAGGCGACUCACUGGACACGUAUUGACGCUGAGGUGCGAAAGCGUGGGGAGCAAACAGG